AUGAGCCCGACAGACCCAGGGGGCAUUAAAGACCCUGAACCUGGAGGAGCCGUCAACUCAGCAUUUGGGAUGUGUGGAGCAAGUCAGGUACAGGGGAGAGAGAGACUGCGAUCCCACGGACAGACGGCCUGCAGGGGACAGAGAGGUCAGGCCGCCCAUCUCCAAGGUCAAGGGCUUGGGGGUCUGGUGCGAACCCCACAGGAAGACUGCAGGCAGGAGAGAGAUCUGCCUUCCAGCCCCGCAGGUGUCAGGGCAGCGCCCUGGACGGAACAGGGCAGGCUGGAUGUGGUCAGCAGCAGCCGGAGGCCUGAGACGCUCACCGCCUCCACUGGCAGGGGGACCUGGAGAAGACCGUGCACUCUGCCAUGCAUCAGUGGACAACCCAGAACGGCUCAGCAGCGGAAGUGGGACAGGGGAGUCACCAGCGGGAGCGCAGAGCCCAGCCCAAGGUGGAGCCGUGGUGGCGGGGAGCGGGGGAGGUGGCAUGCAGUCUGGCGGAGGGUGGCGCAGGGGCCGUGGGGGACAGAUAGCAGGGCAGACCAGACCCGCCAGCUCGGCCACGCAGCCGAGGAGGGAGAGCCGCUUGAGCCACAGGCAGAAGCGGACGGAGCUGCGGAAGAAGGCGCGAGCGAGUGGCUUCUGCCACUAACUCGGUUUAAUUCACUUAGCGGUGGGCAUGAUGCUGCAUUAAAAAAGAAAAAACCCCACAGAGCCAGAGGCCACGGAGGAAGGAGCAGGACGACGGCCAGACCCUGCACCUGCUGCACACCCAGCGCCUCCUCCCAGAGGGGUUGGGGCUGCUGGAGAGGAAGACAGCCCCCCCGCAGACCACCGGUCAUCUCUGGGUGCUCGCCCAGGUUGCCGACAGCAAGGCGGGCGACGUCCACAAAACCCAGCUCGUGGUCACCUCCGAGGGUACAGCAGCUCCCUCCGCCUCCAGCCUCCCCUGCAGGGGGCGGCAGGCACAGCACAGGACCACCGCAGAGGGCUCCAGCCGGCAGCGCCAGGCGACACACUCGCUCAGCAGCCAGCAGGCAAGGGCCCACCUAA
rnacentral:lncRNA from 1 species